CGAUAGACUAGUAAGAUACAGGGUGUUCUAUUUAAAAUAAGCCAAGUUGAUAAAGCACUAGGGGUAGUGACAUCUGACGAUGUUUUUUCUUUUAUAGAACAUUAUAAACCGAAGUAAUUGAAAAUAUCCUUAUCUUGUACUUAAUGUCAGGUCAUUUUUGAAUGACAUUUAACAAUAAUAUAUUCUCAGGUAAAAUAGGUAUAAUUAUUACUGUAUUAACUAUUGCUCUAGGUAUAUUGGUUAUAUGUAUUAUGAAUUUUAAUAAAAUGUUUUAAUUUUAA
rnacentral:lncRNA from 1 species